rnacentral:lncRNA from 1 species
UUUUUUAAAAAAAUUUUUGGUUCAUUUGGGUGCAGAAUCAUUAUUAUUAUCUUUUUAAAAUAGAGUAGAGUGCAUGAUGAACUAAAAAAAAAAAUUUACCUCUAUUAUGAUGAGCUUAAAUUUUAAACUUUUGUAGAUAAAUGUUAUACCAUAAAGGAGGUGUUAUCAAUUCACACCAUGUGUGCUUAAUCUCAUAUUGUUUAAUGAGGAAAAUAUACAAUUUUUUAAAAGAAAGUUUUAAUACACUUAAUACAAUACAUUUCAAUCUAAUAUACAAUAUGUUCAAUUAUAGUAAAAUAGUUUGAUUUAAGCUUCAAGCACGCAUUCUUCACCUUCACGAAUCCAUACAUGUAAAUGCUCUUCGCCCAAAACUCAUCCAUUUAAUUAAGAGAAGCUAAAGACUUGUAAGAAUCUCUCUUCCCUUUUGAUCAGGAGUUCUCAUGAGGAUAAUCCAUCCAUAGAUACGUUAGGAAUGGCAAAAAUUUUCAUGACGACGAGGGCUCCAUAGAUUUUUUCCAUUGUGAUAGGGUAAAUGACAAAAAUUUCCAUGAGGAUGAGGGCUCCAUAGAUUUUCCCCAUUAGGAUAGGGUACAAUGAUAAUUUUAUAUAUACUCAUUUUUUUUAGGGAGAGAUAAGGACAAUUUAAUAUCCAAAAUCUUAUUAAGAUGGAAUGAGGAUUUGGUGAGAUCCUCAUUCACUCCCCCAUUUCCCUAUUUUAAUUUUUA